AAAGACUUAGUCCUAACCUUACUGUUAGUUUUUGCUAGGAAUAUACAUGCAAGUAUCCGCAUCCCAGUGUAAAUGCCCCAGGCAACCCAAAGCCUGCAGGAGCGGGCAUCAGGCACACUCCACAAGUAGCCCAAGACGCCUUGCGUAGCCACACCCCCACGGGUUUACAGCAGUAAUUAAUAUUAAGCAAUGAGUGCAAACUUGACUUAGCCAUAGCAAAUCUUAGGGUCGGUAAAUCUUGUGCCAGCCACCGCGGUUAGACAAGGGACCCAAAUUAACAGUCAAACGGCGUAAAGAGUGGUCACAUGUUAUCAAAACAACUAAGACUGAAACGCAGCUGAGCUGUAAUAAGCCCAAGAUGCCCAUAAAACCAACUCCAAAGAAGGUCUUAGAGUCACGAUCAAUUGAAAUCCACGAAAGCCAGGGCCCAAACUGGGAUUAGAUACCCCACUAUGCCUGGCCCUAAAUAUUGAUGCUCUACUCUACCUGAGCAUCCGCCUGAGAACUACGAGCACAAACGCUUAAAACUCUAAGGACUUGGCGGUGUCCCAAACCCACCUAGAGGAGUCUGUUCUGUAAUCGAUGAUCCACGAUAUACCCGACCAUCCCUUGCAAAAUCAGCCUAUAUACCGCCGUCGUCAGCUCACCCUCCCUGACGGCCCAACAGUGAGCGCAAUAGUCCUAACCCACUAAAAAGACAGGUCAAGGUGUAGCCUAUGGGAUGGAAGCAAUGGACUACAUUUUCUAACAUAGAACACAACGGAUGAGAACUUGAAAUAGUCCUCGGAAGGCGGAUUUAGCAGUAAAGUGGGACAAUCAAGCCCUCUUUAAACCGGCUCUGGGGCACGUACAUACCGCCCGUCACCCUCCUCAAAAGCACCAAACAACCCCAUAAACUAAUAAGCCAAGCAGCCAAAGAGGAGGUAAGUCGUAACAAGGUAAGUGUACCGGAAGGUGUACUUAGAAUAAC
rnacentral:ncRNA from 1 species